CGACCGGCGCACGGGUGAGUAACGCGUAUGUAAUCUACCUGUAACAGAGGGAUAACCCGGAGAAAUCCGGACUAAUACCUCAUAGCACAUAUUAUUCGCAUGAAUUUUAUGUUAAAGAGACUCGGUUACAGAUGAACAUGCGUUCCAUUAGCUAGUUGGCGGGGUUACGGCCCACCAAGGCAACGAUGGGUAGCCGGUCUGGGAGGAUGACCGGCCACACUGGAACUGGAACACGGUCCAG
rnacentral:rRNA from 1 species